rnacentral:rRNA from 1 species
GGUUGCGAUCAUACCAGCACUAAUGCACCGGAUCCCGUCAGAACUCCGCAGUUAAACGUGCUUGGGCGAGAGUAGUACUAGGAUGGGUGACCCCCUGGGAAGUCCUCGUGUUGCAACCCC